rnacentral:misc_RNA from 1 species
AGCAGCCGCGGUAAUUCCAGCUCCAAUAGCGUAUAUUAAAGUUGUUGCAGUUAAAAAGCUCGUAGUUGAAUUUCGGGAUCAAUGCGUCGGUCGUGCCUUCGGUACGUACUAGCGUAAUUGAUUCCUCCCUUCUGAGGAACCGUGAUGUCAUUAAUUUGGUGUUACGGGGAAUCAGGACUGUUACCUUGAAAAAUUAGAGUGUUUAAAGCAGGCUAACGCUUGAAUACAUUAGCAUGGAAUAAUGAAAUAGGACGUUCGAACCUAUUUUGUUGGUUUCUAGGAUCGACGUAAUGAUUAAUAGGGAUAGUUGGGGGCAUUAGUAUUCAAUUGUCAGAGGUGAAAUUCUUGGAUUUAUUGAAGACUAACUACUGCGAAAGCAUUUGCCAAGGAUGUUUUCAUUAAUCAAGAACGAAAGUUAGGGGAUCGAAGACGAUCAGAUACCGUCGUAGUCUUAACCAUAAACUAUGCCGACUAGGGAUCGGAUGAUGUUAAUUUUUUAAUGACUCAUUCGGCGCCUUAC